UACGAAGGGGGCUAGCGUUGCUCGGAAUUACUGGGCGUAAAGCGCGCGUAGGCGGCUUUGUAAGUUAGAGGUGAAAGCCCGGGGCUCAACCCCGGAACUGCCUUUAAGACUGCAUCGCUUGAAUCCGGGAGAGGUGAGUGGAAUUCCGAGUGUAGAGGUGAAAUUCGUAGAUAUUCGGAAGAACACCAGUGGCGAAGGCGGCUCACUGGACCGGUAUUGACGCUGAGGUGCGAAAGCGUGGGAGCAAACAGG
rnacentral:rRNA from 1 species